GCUUGGGAGAGUCCAGGAGAAGUGGGAAGAGUCUCCACUAGUUGAGUCUCCACUAGAUGGCAAGAGGGACCUCACUUUGCGACUGGAACUCGCAGCAGGAAACGGGGGAGAAGGCGGACGUGAUCGCCGAGCACCGGGGCCGGCUGAGCGAAGAAACCCUCGGAGGCUGUCACGGCCCAGGCGGGAAAAGGAGAGGCUUUCUCUCACCUUGUCUGUUGGCAAAUUGAAGACGCCAGAGUGACACUGCGCCGUCAAGCGUCUGAGACGCGUUAGCCUUGGCCGGAGACCGGCUGGCUGGAAAUCCCAGACUCGGGGCCUUAUCUGGUGGCAGGAGGUUCUAAAUCUCAAUCUGUCGUCGUCAGAGCCCUGCCUGGUGCCGCCGAGCCGGGUGAACGGAUUUUUAAUGGCUCGCUUUUAAUGCGGUCUAUUUCGGACUCCUCGUCCCCCCGGUGCCUUGCCGUUGGCCCUACGUGUUCACCCCUUGGCUGCUCGUCACCUGUAAAACGGGGUCCCUCUGGCUUCUCACCCCCA